GGAGCCUCAGAUGAAUUAGCAGGUGAGGGACUGACUGUCCUACUAAACGAUGAUCAGUCACCCUGCAUGAGAGACUGCUCGCACACUCUGGAGUGAAGCCGCGGUCCAGAUUCUUGCGGGAGCCGCCAGUGCGGAAUCUUGCCCAAUGCGGGCAUGCCCUGAAGCUCUGCGGCUGCUUGAAGAAUGUAGUUUGUGGGUAAGUACACUCCUUUCAGCAGGGAAGAUUUUGACGUUACCUGCCUAAGAAGCACCGGCUAACUUCGUGCCAGCAGCCGCGGUAAUACGUAGGGGGCAAGCGUUAUUCGGAUUUACUGGGUGUAAAGGGAGCGUAGGCGGCUGUGGCAAGUCGGAUGUGAAAUCCCGGGGCUCAACCCGGGGACUGCAUUGGAAACUGUCACUCUAGAGUUCGGGAGAGGUAGGCGGAAUUCCUAGUGUAGCGGUGAAAUGCGUAGAUAUUAGGAGGAACACCAGUGGCGAAGGCGGCUUCCUGGACGGUAACUGACGUUGAGGCUCGAAAGCGUGGGGAGCAAACAGGAUUAGAUACCCUGGUAGUCCACGCCGUAAACGAAGGAUUACUAGGUGUUGGGGUGCUAAGGUUCUUAGUGGCGCCGCCAACGCAAUAAGCUUUUCCCCUGGGGAGUACGGUUGCAAGGAUUAAACUCCAAAGAAAUGACGGGGGCCCGCCCCAGCGGUGGAGCAUGUGGGUUAAUUUGAAACAACGCGAAGAACCCUACCCUGCUUUGACAUCUCCCGGAUCUGGCAGAGAAGGGGGCGUGUCCUUGGGGCAAUGGAGACACGGGGGGCACGGGUGUUUUCUCCUCGUGUUUUGAGAGUUUGGGGUUAAUUCCCCCAAGAGGGCCACCCCCUUUCUUUGUUACCCACCCGUUAAGCUGGGCACUCUAAGGAGACUGCCAGGGAUAACCUGGAGGAAGGUGGGGAUGACGUCAAAUCAUCAUGCCCCUUAUGAUCAGGGCUACACACGUGCUACAAUGGCGUAAACAAAGGGAGGCAAAACCGCGAGGUGGAGCAAAUCCCAAAAAUAACGUCUCAGUUCGGAUUGCAGUCUGCAACUCGACUGCAUGAAGUUGGAAUCGCUAGUAAUCGCGAAUCAGAAUGUCGCGGUGAAUACGUUCCCGGGUCUUGCACUCACCGCCCGUCA
rnacentral:rRNA from 1 species